CACGUGAAACCUUAAAUUAGAGUGAAUAAAUGAAGACUUAGCACAGCACUUCUGAAAGGUUGCCGACCCCUACCCUAGAGGGUUCAGAUUAACCUCUUUUCCCCACGCUUCAUGGUAAGAGCUUGUCUGAGACAUGUAUUUGGGAAAUCAGUGGUUAUUCCCAAAUGCUUUAUUGUUUCUGCUCCAAUCAAAUGUUCGCUCCCUUCAAUGGCACACUUUUCCUGAACUGCAUGUACACAAAACUAGGGUAUCUUUCUGUUUAUCCCGAUAGUCCCUGCAUUUGUACUGACUGUAACUGGUAUGCAUUACACAUCUUCUACUAUGGGAAUCCCUGCCCCCGUAGCUAAUAAAAAAUUGACAAGCCCGUCCCCGACUCCAAAGCUUAUAUGGGGCCAUCCCCAAAUAACUACAGUCAUGGGUUGUUGGAAAACGCACUCCGAGUCUGGGGAGGGCUGUCCUAUGGCAUUUGUUUGUUGGUGAUGGGAUCAUUUAAUACCACCGUCUGAGGCUCUGUUUUCUUAUCUUUAUUUCCACUGUCCCUGCUAAUCCUACAUGCUUGCAGCUGUGCCUGUAAAUUAUCAAUCUAGCUUUUCAGAGCUCUACUCUCCUGUAUCAACUGCCCCACUGGCAUCCAUUCACCAUUUCUUCCUACUCCUCUGCCUCUACUCAUUCCCCAACCUCUAACCCCAGCCUUGGGGAGAGGAUCCAUUUUUUCCACUGCUUUAGUUGUGUUUGCAGCUCAUUUACUAGAGUUCCCCCUUACUGCUUCCCAGCUGCUUCUAUUUUCCCCACACAGAGGCAUGUCUGCCUUCAUGCUCAUACCUUGCUUUCAUCCAUUCCACCACACCUGAGAGCAAUGCCUGUAACACAGCAUCUUUUAAAGUUUCUUGUUCUAAUUUCCCUUCCCUCAAUGUAUAUUUGAAUUCUCUCAGCUAAUUGUGUGGGAGCCUUCCCAGGCCGCCUUGCAAUUUUUGCAGCCAUGCUGGAAGAUAAUGUAAAGUGCUGUUGUCACCCAUCUAAUCAUCUGAGUAACAUUAUCGUCAAAUCUAACAGCGCAGGUGCUUAUGGAUCCAAUAAUGUCCAAAGUAAUGGCUUCUCUGCUAUAGAAAUACCUACUGCUUGCAAAAUUGUGAACAUUUAUGUAGCCACACCAAAAACUCACUAAAAUUUCCUGGUGGGUGGGGGGAACCUACAGCUCCCACCAGAGCAGUUAGCUCACUAAUUUGUAAUGUAUCAAUUCUAGGUGUUAACGCACUGACUCUAGAUUUGUUAGUUUGGGGCUUUAUACUCUCCUUCUCCCAUGAUUAAGGCUAAGAUUUUGUACCAGAUAUUUUUAGUAAACAUCCCGGACAGAUCACGGCUUCCGUGAAUUUUUCUUUUUUGCCCAUGACCUGUCCAUUACAUUUACUAAAAAUAUCCAGGACAAAAUGGGAUCUGAGAGUCCCCACACCACCUGAAAUGGGGCAGCUGCACAGGGUUAGGAACUGCAAGGUAUCCCUGCCACCUGAAGCUUUGCAAGUCCCUCUGCUGCCCCUGGGGGCCAGGAGCUAUCAGAUGCCCCCACCUCCAGUGUCAGCAGGAGCUGCCAGGUACCCAUGCUGCAAGCAGCUCUGGGGGCCCCCCACUGCCCAUGAGGGCUGUGGGGUGCCCUCACCUGUGGCAUCAGCCAGGAGCUGUGGGGUACCCACGCUGCCUGCAGCUCCAAGGGCCCACAGUGGCUAGAAUCCUGGCAGUUCCCCCACAGCCAGCUGUGGGGUGCCCCUGCCACUUGUGGGGGCCAGGAGCUGCAGGGUACCCCUGCCGUUCACAGCUCUGGGGGCCUGUGAGCUCAAAGGUUCCCUCACGGGGGCUGGGAGCUCUAGGGAUUCUCCACAGCCUGCGGCAGCCAGGAGCUCAGGACUAUCCUAGCACUCACAGCAGCCAGAACCUGUGCAGCUUGGAGCUCCAGGGGCCACUAGAGGCAGCAGGGCUACAGCAGCUCCCUGCCCCCACAGGCGACAGGGGACCCUGCAGCUCCCAACCACAGACUGAAGUCAGAGGCUGCUGGAAGUCACGGAUUCCGUGACUUGUGCGAUCUUGUCACUUAAUCGUAGCCUUACCCGUGAUCAGUUCACAACCCAUGUUGUCUAAUGAAACCUGUUAACUAUUGUGUUUCUUUGCCUAUUCAAUCUCCAUUCUUUGGAAAGACCCAUCUGAGUGUUCUUCCUCCCCCUCCCCAUUUGCUUCUCCCAUUCUAAGAGGUACCACUGUCUCGGUUUAGGUUUUGCCAGGACCUGGUUCUUAUCAUAAGGUGAUGGUGCAGUGGCCCCUGCCCAGGAUUGCUAGAUAGGGGUUGGUCUAGGUCAUUCCACAUGUCCCCAUUGCACCACCCACUCCAUCAAUCCCACGUUCCAAUUUUUAAUUUUGCUAAAGCCACCUUCUCCCAUUUUUGUCCCCACAUACCAGGUGCUACGAAAGUACCUGUAGUCUGUUCUUGCCCUCCUAUAGUUAUGCUGGGAGAUGGCACUUUUUUGCAGAUUUUCUAUUGCGGUUCCCAGAUUCUUAUGCUUGAGCAAAUGAAACAGAAAAAUAUCAUGCAUCUGAAUUGCCUGAUGCCCUGGCGUUCCAGUCUUUGACAGCUUGGGUUACUUCUUCUCAUUUUGGUUACUUGUCCCAUCAAUUUUGUUGCAUGUUGUCUUAGCCAUCUCACAGCCAUGGCAAUAGUUUUCAAUAUUCUACCCUUCUUUUUUUCUUCUUCUUUUAGGCUACCAUAGCCUUAAGUAUUCCAGUUCACCUUUCCCCACUUUCUUUUUUAAACUCCUAGGGCCUGUCUUCACUUGUUACCCAGCAAGUCUAUUCCUCAUCAAACACUGUGGGGAUUUGAAGGGAAAGGUAAGCAGGUUCCCUAACUCAGAGUUUUGUGUCAUGGUCAGCCAGUGCUCAGUUUGUGUGUGCACUGUCCCAGCUCUGCGCAGAGAGCUAGUACAGCAGACCUCCACAUUACCCAGAAAGACCAGACUCUGUUUGGUGGCAAAGGCCCUUGGCCAGGUUUAUUGCCCUUAAGACACAGCAUUAGUACCCUGGCUCUAUGGUUACAUGUAUGCUAACACGAGUGCCCAGAGACAUGGGCUCAGCUCAGUCAGCAGCAGAAUUUUCUAUUGCCCCCGCUAUAAUUUCUCGUUUUAUACAUUGAUACAAUCAAGUUACGUAUUACAAUCCCGUCACGGGUAGUUACCAACGCUAUACCUGGUUCGUGCUGGUUUGAACAAGACAUCUCCAUCCACCAUUUUAGCCUCCUCUCUUUGUCCUACUUGGGGUUGGUGUGUCUCUGAACAAUCUCCUAGGAUUGUGUUUAUUCUAUACUAUGUUGUGGGGUACCUGUACUAGCCUUCUGGAACGUGUUUACAUUAAUACCCUGUACCUAAAACUUCUUUGGAAUGUCUGUGUUUUAGCAAUGCUAGCUCUGCUUUGCCUCGUUCAUUUACCAGACAGUGAAUGUGUAAGCAAGCAUCUGCUUUUUAAGAGAAUAAAUUUCGCUCAUAGCUUUUUUUUGCUGACUUUGGUUUAGGCCUCACACCAGGCCCUGUGCUCCAGGCUCUCUCUCUGAUACAAAGGCUAGCAGCACUGGGGGAGGGAGGCCUUAACUAAAUCCAUCUACCCUCAUUUUUGUUCUCCAUCUUCCUUUCCUUUGGCCCAGAAAGCAAAUGCCCUCAUAGGUAGCAACUAAAUGAGAAGCAGGAAAUGUGGAAGGCACAUUUAACCCUCUGGGAUCAGGCACUUAAGGAGCGACUGAGCAGCUUUAGUGUCUUGAAGAGGG